UGAUUGUUCGAUGAUCACGCUUCAGAAGCUUUGCAAUUUUAAGAGUGCUGCAUCCCUCUGCAAGAUAUCUCACUAUUUUUGACUUUUCUGAGCCUGUCAAGUCCUUCUUUUGACCCAUUUUGCCAAAGGAAAGGAAGUUGCCUAAUAAUUAUGCACACCUGAUAUAGGGUGUUGAUGUCAUUAGACCACACCCCUUCUCAUUACAGAGAUGCACAUCACCUAAUAUGCUUAAUUGGUAGUAGGCUUUCGAGCCUAUACAGCUUGGAGUAAGACAACAUGCAUAAAGAGGAUGAUGUGGUCAAAAUACUAAUUUGCCUAAUAAUUCUGCACUCCCUGUAUAUCCCCAGCUGGCCAAUUUAGAGACUUUUCAUCUGCAUUUAGUAAGUGAUGCCAUUCUCAUAGCUGGAAGUAUUUAAAUUAAUUCCUAUCCAAUGAUUUUUGUCUUUGUUUUUUUCAUUGCUUUUACUGCUUUUGCAAAAGUAAUAAUUCCUUUUAAGACACUCCCCAAAUUGUAGGAAAAUAAUGUUCACUUUUUACAUGUUAAGCUGCUUCCUCUCCAUCUCAACCACAUCUUCUUGAGAUUGAAAGCAAACAGGGAGUUUGUCUGACACAGUCUCCCCUAGAAACAAACCAUGCAGAUGACACAAGAGAAGCCAAUGCAUCAGUCAUAACUGGUACGGCGGCAAAAAAGCACUGCGUAACUUGAGAAAUGUUCUCAAAAUCCCAAAGGCUACAUUACUAAGCUUUAAGAUUUUUUUUAAAAAUGUAAAAUCAUUUUACAGAUUAUUGGCUCUUUAAUUAAUGUGUUAACUUUCCCAAAAAGUAACUAAUGAUAGUUUGCAAUCCUAUAAUUGAACAUAUGUGCCUAUUUCAGAAUGCUCUUUAAGAAAACAAACCAUGUAGAUGGUCUGGGGCCUGGUGUAGCAUAACUCUCAUUCUGAUUAGUAGAGCUGCGUCACCUGCUGACCAUUCCAGGUACUCUUUUUCAAAUAAAUAUUAGAUAUGGUCCAAAGACCAGAGACAGUGGCAGAGUUAUUCUCUGUGCUAUGCUAUAUUUUAUCUUAACAGUUUCCCUCAUGCUGUGUGGUACCUGCAUCGCGACUCUACAGCCUUUAAGGGAUUUCCUUUAUUGGCCCAAACGUUUUGAUUAAUCCAGCGCAUUAGGUAAAAGCUGGAUUGUGGUGCUCAGGGGUAUAAACACAAAAAAUGAUAUGAUAAUAAACUGUUUAAUUCAUGUUUGGUUUUCAUUGUGUUGAUUUUGUGUGUUGUGUUUUUUUUUGUUUGUUUUUUAAAGAUCCUUGUAUACUUUGACAGUGGGAUUUCCUCCAUUAAAAAAAAAAAACCAUCAAGUACACAAA